GCUAGUAAUCGCGGAUCAGCAUGCCGCGGUGAAUACGUUCCCGGGCCUUGUACACACCGCCCGUCAAACCAUGAGAGUUGGAAACACCCGAAGUCUGUUGCCUAACCGUAAGGAGGGCGCAGCCGAAGGUGGGUCUGAUGAUUGGGGUUAAGUCGUAACAAGGUACC
rnacentral:rRNA from 1 species